GCGACAUUCGCGGCGGCCCACACGCCGUGGAAUGCAGCACGCGAGUUCUCUCCAACGGGUGAACGCACCAAACGUAAAAAAAAGGGCAGGCGGAUUGCGGCAUCAGGCGCGCGUAGACAAACGCCCAGACCAGCACACCCAAAUCGUCCGCUUUCGGCAUCAGAAGAAUCAUCUUCGGCGGAUCCCUCUUCUCUACCCAUCUCACUUUUCCUCUGACACGCGACUGUCUCUUUCUGUGCUCUACUGUUGUGCGACGCGGUGUGCGUCUUUCACUUCCGCCCGCUCUGACUCACGUCUUCCUCAUCCUCUGCCCCGCUCCAGGAGGCCGUGCCUUCGGUGUGCUCGGCUGCAGACGGAUCAACAGCACAGCUUUCACGCCGCGAAAGGGCGGCGCGCGCAAGAGCAUAAGUGUGUGACGUACUCCCUUCUCGCUGUUUCUUUUGCUUUAGCGAGCCCUCAAAACUGUAUAUCUCAUUUGUCCAGUAGCCCACACACGUCUGUGUGGGCGUGAUUUGCGGCCCAUCUUUGCGUGUCUUCUUCGCCUCCCUCCCUCCCUCGCCCGCUCGCUAUCUUGUGUCCGCGUGCUUGAGCGUGGCUCGACUUGAACUUGACGCCGCCGCGUGGGCUUGCGACCCCCCUCUCCCGCUUCGCUUUUUUCCCUUUUGCUUGCUGUCGCUGCUGUUUUUCUCUUCUGCUUAUUGUGCUUUCCGAACACUGCACCCCUCCUCCCUUCCCCUCCGUGAG
rnacentral:misc_RNA from 1 species